rnacentral:rRNA from 1 species
GACGAACGCUGGCGGCGUGCUUAACACAUGCAAGUCGAACGGAAAGGCCCUGCUUUUGUGGGGUGCUCGAGUGGCGAACGGGUGAGUAACACGUGAGUAACCUGCCCUUGACUUUGGGAUAACUUCAGGAAACUGGGGCUAAUACCGGAUAGGAGCUCCUGCUGCAUGGUGGGGGUUGGAAAGUUUCGGCGGUUGGGGAUGGACUCGCGGCUUAUCAGCUUGUUGGUGGGGUAGUGGCUUACCAAGGCUUUGACGGGUAGCCGGCCUGAGAGGGUGACCGGCCACAUUGGGACUGAGAUACGGCCCAGAGUCCUACGGGAGGCAGCAGUGGGGAAUAUUGCACAAUGGGCGGGAGCCUGAUGCGGCAACGCCGCGUGCGGGAUGACGGCCUUCGGGUUGUAAACCGCUUUCGCCUGUGACGAAGCGUGAGUGACGGUAAUGGGUAAAGAAGCACCGGCUAACUACGUG